UGAGGGCGUGUGCCUGUGUUUGGCAGAACAACACUGGGCAAAUAUAGCAAGUAUGAGUCACACAAACGCUUCGGUCGUAGCAUAACAAAUUUUAACGAUGGUAGCGGGAAUUCUCCUCCUCCACCCCAUUUAUCGCAUACCCAAACAACCUCUUCGAUACCACCGUUCUUCUACCCCUAUUUUCCCGCGCCUUUUCAUCAUCAACGCCUCCGUUUCCGACUCUUCACAGUCGGAGGGAUAUAAAGGUCCGAAACCGAGCCGGAAUUUGGUCGCUGAUUGGGUUUCUAACAACGACAGUGCCGCCCGUAGCUUGCCUAUUUAUGUCGGCGGUUUCUCUCUCUUCGCUGUCCUCUUCAAUCGCGCUGUUUCUGGCAUUGCUCCUGUCGCCGACGCCGGUAGCUCACAGUCUAGGGCAGAUCUGUUGGCUCUCGGAUUGGCUGUUACAAAUAUCUUAGCUGGUCUUGUAUGGCUUUCAAUUCGACCCAAGUCAAUCUCUAAGGUGGAUCCUGAAGGUGUGGAGUGUCACUGGAUUUCUCCUGGAUUACCUGAUUCUGAUGUUUCUGAGUUGGAAUGGUUCUGGGAAUCUCUCUCAGCUGUCACGUGCUGCAGAUCUCUGGUCAUUAUCUAUGAGAGUAGUUGUAUCUGUCAAAUUGGCAUGACAGCUGAGUCAUCUAUCAUUGGUGAAGCAGAGACUGUUGACGCCACAAAAUUGAUUCAGGGCACACUUUAUAGAGGCAUUAUGAAUUCUCGAGCACAGAGCUAUUUGGCUAAUCUCUCUCUGUACCCAGGAAAAUCUGAAUUGCCAUUUUUGCCACCAAAUACACAGGCCGUCAUCCUGCAGCCACUUGGUAACAAGGGAAUUGCAAUUAUAGGAGGUGAUACAAUAAGGGGGUUUUCCACUGCUGACCAGAAUCAUUACUAGAUGGUGAUUGUGGAUAGCUUUGUUGCUAAAUAAUACAGUUAGAGCAAACUUAUCUCAAUGUUGCACGAAUUGAACAUUUCCCCGUUGUGGAACCCACUGUCCUAGAAGAAAACCGAAGAGUAUUUGUUAGAGAAGAUACCUACAAACUUGCGAUGGCAGAGUCAUUAACAAGUGGUGAUUGUGGAUAGCUUUGUUGCGUAAUAAUGCAUUAGUACAAACUUAUCUCAAUGUUGAGUAGACGAAUAACAAUUGCCGCGUCGAGGAACACCACUGUCCUAAAAGAACAACGAAGAGAGAACUUCCAACAAGCUUCACACAAAUAAGGAUAAAAGAAUGGCAGAUUUGUUACUAAGUGAUGGCUUUAGACACUUGACACAAAUGAGGGAUGAUACACACAUAUUUGAGAGUGAUUAAGUUCUUCGGACCUGAUGGCUGAUUUCCCCUAAUUUGAACUUAUUGGCGCAUACCUGAACUUAUUUUUGGUUGUGAUAUGAUCUUUACAGCCCUUAUAGGAACUUAUUUAAACUUUUUUCCGAGACUUGAUCUUGUAAGGUGAAAAGAACAAGGCCUUGGUCUCCUCUUGAAAGCGUGUUUUGGUUAUCCUGGACUAACAGAGGGGCGUUUCUGGGUUUACCUGGACUAAAAGGGGACCUUUGAGGCAUAUAUAUUGAUCAGAUAUGGUUUUUAUUCACUCUAAUACAGAAAAGGAAAAAACAAAUUGUUCAUUUUAUAAAAAUUCUUACACUUGGUUAUAAAUGAGCUACAAUAAAAUGGAGUGUUUCAUCAGGAAACUAUUUAGAAGACGAGUAUGAAGAAUGCAGAGAUGACAGGUUUUCAAGAAGGCAAUCAUGCACAGUAUAGAGCUGGAAACAGUCAGUGUAUCUCUUAGACAUGUAAUGAGUAUUUAAUGUUUGGGCAUUUGUAUGCGUCAUUUUGGUGUUUGUAUGUAGGCAUUGUGUAUAAGACGAAUUGGUAGGGACUAGGGAAGGCUAGUGACACCAUGACCGGUGAUGAGGGGGAUGGUUAAUUUUAGUGGGCAAUGGUUUUUGGGACAGGAGAAUAUGGCUUUUGGGAGGAUUGGUGUAUUUUUCUUUUUGCCUCUAAUUUCAUACGGAGUAGCCUCUUUUCUAUUUCCUUUAAAAAGUGAACCAAUUCUUAUAUUGAGCUAGUGGUAAAAACAUAAAUGUUCUACCCAAGAAGUUGUGGAUUAAGGUAGUGGUAGGGUUCCAUCCAUCUUAUUGUUUAUUGAAAUGUAAGGUAAUGGACGUUGGUAGAUAAAAAGAUUUCUAGCCAUUUUAAAAUAAUACUAUAAAAAUUCUUUGAACUGGAAUCUUAAUUAGAUAUGGAGUAAAACAUUUUAGGAUGACCCAUGAAUCCUGAUGUGCAAUUCAUGGGAAUACUUCUGCAAAGCUUUUUUCAGUUUCUUUUUUUUUUCCCUUUUUUUUUCUUUUUUUCUUUUUUUGCAAUGCUCUAGUUUCUCUUCUUUCACAUUUCUGAGUUAUCAAUAG